rnacentral:rRNA from 1 species
GACGAACGCUGGCGGCGUGCUUAACACAUGCAAGUCGAACGGAAAGGCCCUGCUUUUGUGGGGUGCUCGAGUGGCGAACGGGUGAGUAACACGUGAGUAACCUGCCCUUGACUUUGGGAUAACUUCAGGAAACUGGGGCUAAUCCCGGAUAGCAGCUCCUGCUGCAUGGUGGGGGUUGGAAAGUUUCGGCGGUUGGGGAUGGACUCGCGGCUUAUCAGCUUGUUGGUGGGGGAGUGGCUUACCAAGGCAUUGACGGGUAGGCGGCCUGGGAGGGUGACCGGCCACAUUGGGACUGAGAGACGGCCCAGACUCCUACGGGAGGCAGCAGUGGGGAAUAUUGCACAGUGGGCGGAAGCCUGAUGCAGCAACGCCGGGUGCGGGAUGACGGCCUUCGGGUUGUAAACCGCUUUCGCCUGUGACGAAGCGUGAGUGACGGUAAUGGGUAAAGAAGCACCGGCUAACUACGUG